GUGGGGAAUCUUGCGCAAUGGGCGAAAGCCUGACGCAGCCAUGCCUCGUGUAUGAUGAAGGUCUUAGGAUUGUAAAAUACUUUCACCGGUGAAGAUAAUGACUGUAGCCGGAGAAGAAGCCCCGGCUAACUUCGUGCCAGCAGCCGCGGUAAUACGAAGGGGGCUAGCGUUGCUCGGAAUUACUGGGCGUAAAGGGAGCGUAGGCGGACAUUUAAGUCAGGGGUGAAAUCCCAGAGCUCAACUCUGGAACUGCCUUUGAUACUGGAUGUCUUGAGUGUGAGAGAGGUGUGUGGAACUCCGAGUGUAGAGGUGAAAUUCGUAGAUAUUCGGAAGAACACCAGUGGCGAAGGCGACACACUGGCUCAUUACUGACGCUGAGGCGCGAAAGCGUGGGGAGCAAACAGGAUUAGAAACCCGUGUAGUCC
rnacentral:rRNA from 1 species